rnacentral:rRNA from 1 species
AAGUCCCGUAACGAGCGCAACCCUUGUCCUCAGUUACCAGCGGUUCGGCCGGGAACUCUGGGGAGACUGCCGGUGACAAACCGGAGGAAGGUGGGGAUGACGUCAAGUCAUCAUGGCCCUUAUGGGCAGGGCUACACACGUGCUACAAUGGCAGGUACAAAGGGUUGCAAGACGGCGACGUGGAGCUAAUCCCAUAAAGCCUGCCUCAGUCCGGAUCGGAGUCUGCAACUCGACUCCGUGAAGUCGGAAUCGCUAGUAAUCGUGAAUCAGAAUGUCACGGUGAAUACGUUCCCGGGCCUU